GCCUACAACCAUAUCACCCAGAAUGCGCCCGAUCUCGUCUGAUCUCGGAAGCUAAGCAGGGUCGAGCUUGGAUAGUACUCGGAUGUGGGACUGCCUGGGAAUACCAGGUGUUGUAGGCU
rnacentral:rRNA from 1 species